rnacentral:rRNA from 1 species
UACGAAGGGGGCGAGCGUUGUUCGGAUUUACUGGGCGUAAAGGGCGCGCAGGCGGCGCAUUUUGUCAGGCGUGAAAUCCCCGGGCUUAACCUGGGAACUGCAUUUGUGACUGCAAGGCUGGAGUACGGUAGAGGGGGAUGGAAUUCCGCGUGUAGCAGUGAAAUGCGUAGAUAUGCGGAGGAACACCGAUGGCGAAGGCAAUCCCCUGGACCUGUACUGACGCUCAUGCACGAAAGCGUGGG